AACUCACGAACCGCGAGAUCAUGACCUGAGCCGAAGUCGGACGCUUAACCGACUGAGCCCCCCGGGCGCCCCAAAUCCCACUCCCUUCUUAUAGGAUUAGGAUUCUGCUGCAUUCUACCACCAGGGCAAUAACGUGAGCUACUCCCCAACUCUGAACAAGUAUCUUCAGUGAAGAUACUACCAUGGGAGGUGAGUAGAAAAGGCGUGGAAUUUGUUCAAGUUCAGCCCUGCCUCCCGAUGAGGUCUCUCCUCCGCUCUGAGGUGUGCCCAUGUAUGUCUCUUUCUUCCUGUGACCCUCCAGCGGCCAUCUGUCGGACAAAACGUGCAGGUUUGCGUCUUCAUACUUCACCAUAUUUCCUUAGUUAUGAGUUAACCGUGUACAAGAUGGCUGAGGCAAUGUUCAGGGCUGGUGUGUCCAGACUUCUGUAGGCUCAGGCACUCUGAAUCAAAAUAGACUUCACCCACACCAUUCAGCAAUUACACCCCACACCGAAUGCUGUUUUAUGUUUGCAAGAAUUUCUUCAUGGAGGCAAGGAGUUUGUCUUUUUUUUUUUUGUUCAAGGUUGAAUCUCUCGCACCUAAAACGACACCUGCUGGGCAGACCAUCAAUCAAUGCUUGUUGACUUGAAGAAUGACUGGCUGAAUUCAAAAUGCAGAAGUAGGGGAGAAGGAAGCACAUCCAAGGGAAGCUACGGAGCUUUAAAGAAUAUAUUAGGAGUUCAAAGCAGCCAGAGACUGAGAUGAGAAAAGUAGCUGCGGACGCCUCAACGGAAGUCGGGCUAGAAGGAAUCCAUUUGUAGAGCCGUGCGAUCACAGAAAAAAACUUUCUUGGAGCACAAUUUAUGAUAAAUGGUUCAAACAGAGGAACGUAAGUGCUUCCCGGAAAAUCAAAGCGCCUAGCCCCCAGAAUUGGCAACGGAGCCCUGGGCAGCCCCAGAUUUGUUGUCAUGUGCUCCCGGGUGAGUAGGAAUAAAACGGUGGAAGAGAUUUUAAACGUAUCUGCAGGAUUUGGGGCUGAAUUGCAAUUUGUACUAUUUCUAAGAUUUGACUAAGCUCAUUUUGCCCUCCAAAUCGCUAGAGAUGGCCACGCCAUAGCCACUUUUAAUGUCUUCUGACCUUUCAGCCAGGAAAUUAUUUCUAAUUCUAACUCGAGUCCAUUCAGCUCUAGGUUCAGCCUCGCAGAAGCUAAGGUCACGUGAAGCCUUGCUGACUUUGUCUCUCUCUGACCCCCACCUCACUGGCCCUGACCCAUCUUCAGGUUAGUUCUGGGGUACCUGCUCAUCCCCAGGAGGAAUCCUGUAUCUCGGCGGGUGCUACACCCAAGCAGGAGGAGGACCACAUUAGGGGCAGGUAAGUCAGAGGCUUCUUGGUUUCUUCCUCCGGGCAGGAGGCUCUCAGCAGGCCGGGGUUUCCAAGGGGGUCAUUGCUCAGCUGGGGACAGAAGACUCGGGACCACCAACUCUCCCACCAAAGCAAGGCUUGCGGUGCCCCACAUCGACUCAGGGACCCUCCAGACCCACAUGGGACAUCUCCUGAGAGACACAGAAUGAAGGGGACAGGGGACAGACAGAGCCCAAAGACUGUCUGCUGCAGACAUGCCUUUCCCUCUCUCCCCAGGGCAAGUGGCUCUACGGCCGUUUUGCAGGAAUGAUCUCUGACAUCUGCGUGCAGUCGCCAAGAAUUUACCCUACUCCUCUUUUCCCGUAAAAGAGAAAAAUAGAAGUAUUAGAAGUGUGUGCGUGCAGGUCUGUGUAGGUUCAGGGAAAGGUGGGUACAUGACUCAAUCUGCAUGGAUUUCGUUUGAAUACUGCCCUUCACCUUGUGUAUAGAAAU